rnacentral:rRNA from 1 species
UUAAGCGACUAAGCGUACACGGUGGAUGCCCUGGCAGUCAGAGGCGAUGAAGGACGUGCUAAUCUGCGAUAAGCGUCGGUAAGGUGAUAUGAACCGUUAUAACCGGCGAUUUCCGAAUGGGGAAACCCAGUGUGAUUCGUCACACUAUCAUUAACUGAAUCCAUAGGUUAAUGAGGCGAACCGGGGGAACUGAAACAUCUAAGUACCCCGAGGAAAAGAAAUCAACCGAGAUUCCCCCAGUAGCGGCGAGCGAACGGGGAGCAGCCCAGAGCCUGAAUCAGUGUGUGUGUUAGUGGAAGCGUCUGGAAAGGCGUGCGAUACAGGGUGACAGCCCCGUACACAAAAAUGCACAUACUGUGAGCUCGAUGAGUAGGGCGGGACACGUGGUAUCCUGUCUGAAUAUGGGGGGACCAUCCUCCAAGGCUAAAUACUCCUGACUGACCGAUAGUGAACCAGUACCGUGAGGGAAAGGCGAAAAGAACCCCGGCGAGGGGAGUGAAAAAGAACCUGAAACCGUGUACGUACAAGCAGUGGGAGCACAGAGCAAUCUGUGUGACUGCGUACCUUUUGUAUAAUGGGUCAGCGACUUAUAUUCUGUAGCAAGGUUAACCGAAUAGGGGAGCCGAAGGGAAACCGAGUCUUAACUGGGCGUUAAGUUGCAGGGUAUAGACCCGAAACCCGGUGAUCUAGCCAUGGGCAGGUUGAAGGUUGGGUAACACUAACUGGAGGACCGAACCGACUAAUGUUGAAAAAUUAGCGGAUGACUUGUGGCUGGGGGUGAAAGGCCAAUCAAACCGGGAGAUAGCUGGUUCUCCCCGAAAGCUAUUUAGGUAGCGCCUCGUGAAUUCAUCUCCGGGGGUAGAGCACUGUUUCGGCAAGGGGGUCAUCCCGACUUACCAACCCGAUGCAAACUGCGAAUACCGGAGAAUGUUAUCACGGGAGACACACGGCGGGUGCUAACGUCCGUCGUGAAGAGGGAAACAACCCAGACCGCCAGCUAAGGUCCCAAAGUCAUGGUUAAGUGGGAAACGAUGUGGGAAGGCCCAGACAGCCAGGAUGUUGGCUUAGAAGCAGCCAUCAUUUAAAGAAAGCGUAAUAGCUCACUGGUCGAGUCGGCCUGCGCGGAAGAUGUAACGGGGCUAAACCAUGCACCGAAGCUGCGGCAGCGACGCUUAUGCGUUGUUGGGUAGGGGAGCGUUCUGUAAGCCUGCGAAGGUGUGCUGUGAGGCAUGCUGGAGGUAUCAGAAGUGCGAAUGCUGACAUAAGUAACGAUAAAGCGGGUGAAAAGCCCGCUCGCCGGAAGACCAAGGGUUCCUGUCCAACGUUAAUCGGGGCAGGGUGAGUCGACCCCUAAGGCGAGGCCGAAAGGCGUAGUCGAUGGGAAACAGGUUAAUAUUCCUGUACUUGGUGUUACUGCGAAGGGGGGACGGAGAAGGCUAUGUUGGCCGGGCGACGGUUGUCCCGGUUUAAGCGUGUAGGCUGGUUUUCCAGGCAAAUCCGGAAAAUCAAGGCUGAGGCGUGAUGACGAGGCACUACGGUGCUGAAGCAACAAAUGCCCUGCUUCCAGGAAAAGCCUCUAAGCAUCAGGUAACAUCAAAUCGUACCCCAAACCGACACAGGUGGUCAGGUAGAGAAUACCAAGGCGCUUGAGAGAACUCGGGUGAAGGAACUAGGCAAAAUGGUGCCGUAACUUCGGGAGAAGGCACGCUGAUAUGUAGGUGAAGUCCCUCGCGGAUGGAGCUGAAAUCAGUCGAAGAUACCAGCUGGCUGCAACUGUUUAUUAAAAACACAGCACUGUGCAAACACGAAAGUGGACGUAUACGGUGUGACGCCUGCCCGGUGCCGGAAGGUUAAUUGAUGGGGUUAGCGCAAGCGAAGCUCUUGAUCGAAGCCCCGGUAAACGGCGGCCGUAACUAUAACGGUCCUAAGGUAGCGAAAUUCCUUGUCGGGUAAGUUCCGACCUGCACGAAUGGCGUAAUGAUGGCCAGGCUGUCUCCACCCGAGACUCAGUGAAAUUGAACUCGCUGUGAAGAUGCAGUGUACCCGCGGCAAGACGGAAAGACCCCGUGAACCUUUACUAUAGCUUGACACUGAACAUUGAGCCUUGAUGUGUAGGAUAGGUGGGAGGCUUUGAAGUGUGGACGCCAGUCUGCAUGGAGCCGACCUUGAAAUACCACCCUUUAAUGUUUGAUGUUCUAACGUUGACCCGUAAUCCGGGUUGCGGACAGUGUCUGGUGGGUAGUUUGACUGGGGCGGUCUCCUCCUAAAGAGUAACGGAGGAGCACGAAGGUUGGCUAAUCCUGGUCGGACAUCAGGAGGUUAGUGCAAUGGCAUAAGCCAGCUUGACUGCGAGCGUGACGGCGCGAGCAGGUGCGAAAGCAGGUCAUAGUGAUCCGGUGGUUCUGAAUGGAAGGGCCAUCGCUCAACGGAUAAAAGGUACUCCGGGGAUAACAGGCUGAUACCGCCCAAGAGUUCAUAUCGACGGCGGUGUUUGGCACCUCGAUGUCGGCUCAUCACAUCCUGGGGCUGAAGUAGGUCCCAAGGGUAUGGCUGUUCGCCAUUUAAAGUGGUACGCGAGCUGGGUUUAGAACGUCGUGAGACAGUUCGGUCCCUAUCUGCCGUGGGCGCUGGAGAAUUGAGGGGGGCUGCUCCUAGUACGAGAGGACCGGAGUGGACGCAUCACUGGUGUUCGGGUUGUCAUGCCAAUGGCACUGCCCGGUAGCUAAAUGCGGAAGAGAUAAGUGCUGAAAGCAUCUAAGCACGAAACUUGCCCCGAGAUGAGUUCUCCCUGACUCCUUGAGAGUCCUGAAGGAACGUUGAAGACGACGACGUUGAUAGGCCGGGUGUGUAAGCGCAGCGAUGCGUUGAGCUAACCGGUACUAAUGAACCGUGAGGCUUAACCUU